rnacentral:tRNA from 1 species
AGCCUCGAGGUGUUAUCGACAUGUCAGAUUGCAAAUCUGAAGUAGUGGGCUAAUUUCCCGCCUGGGCUU